rnacentral:rRNA from 1 species
GACGAACGCUGGCGGCGUGCUUAACACAUGCAAGUCGAACGGAAAGGCCCUGCUUUUGUGGGGUGCUCGAGUGGCGAACGGGUGAGUAACACGUGAGUAACCUGCCCUUGACUUUGGGAUAACUUCAGGAAACUGGGGCUAAUACCGGAUAGGAGCUCCUGCUGCAUGGUGGGGGUUGGAAAGUUUCGGCGGUUGGGGAUGGACUCGCGGCUUAUCAGCUUGUUGGUGGGGUAGUGGCUUACCAAGGCUUUGACGGCUAGCCGGCCUGAGAGGGUGAACGGCCACAUGGGGACUGAGAUACGGCCCAGACUCCUACGGGAGGCAGCAGUGGGGAAUAUUGCACAAUGGGCGGAAGCCUGAUGCAGCAACGCCGCGUGCGGGAUGACGGCCUUCGGGUUGUAAACCGCUUUCGCCUGUGACGAAGCGUGAGUGACGGUAAUGGGUAAAGAAGCACCGGCUAACUACGUG